UAAAAUUCAAAUAAUGAAUGUUUUUCUUCGUGGAAUGGUAAGAAUAUUUCUAUAAGGUGAAAGAUGGAAUGUUCCAUUCAAUGAGGCGACAGCCGAGUUGAAUGGAACAUUCCAUCUUUCACCGAAUGAAAAUAUUCUUACCAUAUUAUAUUGCACGGUCGAAGAAAAACAUUCAUUAUUUGUUUUAUA